GAAUGCCCCGUUUUCGAAACGGGUUCUAUUCCCAAACCGUGUAUACAUACCUUUGUUGCUUUGGCAGGCCGCCUUCGGGCGUCGGCUUACGCUGAACGUGCCUGCCAGAGGAUCCAAACUCUUUUGUUUAGUGAUGUCUGAGUACUAUAUAAUAGUUAAAACUUUCAACAACGGAUCUCUUGGUUCU
rnacentral:misc_RNA from 1 species